AGAAUUCAACUUUAUAUACAACUAAUAUAGUACGAAGGUGUAGAUUAAAAAUUACACCACUCCAGGACCUUUUGUUUUCCACGUAAUUAAUAUCGCCAAUAAUUAGGAAGUCCGGGUCGAGUCCGAUACCGAUACCAAAAGUAUAAUCACUUGUUACCUAUUACCUUAUCUGUACGUUCCGCAUCUGACAGGCGCACCACCAAACGGUGUAUUCAGGAUUAAUAUGCUAUAUAAACGGGUCAUAAUCACAGGGUUGACACUACUAAAUUGUCAAAUUAUUACCUAUUGUAGUAUUUUAAUCCGUAAGACUUUCUAAGAUAACAAUACGAAUACUAAAAAUCUGGACUAAAAAUAAGUUUCAAUUUGUUAGCGGGCAUG
rnacentral:lncRNA from 1 species